rnacentral:sRNA from 1 species
CACCGCCUGGGGAGUACGACCGCAAGGUUAAAACUCAAAUGAAUUGACGGGGACCCGCACAAGUAGUGGAGCAUGUGGUUUAAUUCGAAGAUACGCGCAGAACCUUACCAACACUUGACAUGUUCGUCGCGACUUUAAGAGAUUAAAGUUUUCGGUUCGGCCGGACGAAACACAGGUGCUGCAUGGCUGUCGUCAGCUCGUGUCGUGAGAUGUUGGGUUAAGUCCCGCAACGAGCGCAACCCUCACUUUUAGUUGCCAUCAUUUAGUUGGGCACUCUGAAAGAACUGCCAGUGAUAAGCUGGAGGAAGGUGGGGAUGACGUCAAGUCCUCAUGGCCCUUACGUGUUGGGCUACACACGUGCUACAAUGGUAUCUACAACAGGAAGCAAAAUCGCGAGGUUAAGCAAAUCCUCAAAAGAUACCUCAGUUCGGAUUGCACUCUGCAACUCGAGUGCAUGAAGCUGGAAUUACUAGUAAUCGUGGAUCAGCGUGCCACGGUGAAUGCGUUCCCGGGUCUUGUACACACCGCCCGUCACACCAUGGGAGUUGGUUCUACCUUAAGGCAAGGUUUUAAACCCUUGACCACGGUAUAGUCAGCGACUGGGGUGAAGUCGUAACAAGGUAGCCGUAGGGGAACCUGCGGCUGGAUUACCUCCUUUCUAAGGAUGAAUGAAAGUUAAAUUUCAUUCUAAAUAAUAUACAGGUAAUGUUGACCGUCCUCAUUUCUCUUCUUAAAGUAGUGUUUCUCUUGCAUGGGGGCCGGUAGCUCAGUUGGUUAGAGCACACCCUUGAUAAGGGUGGGGUCGAAAGUUCGAGUCUUUCUCGGCCCACCAAAAUAAGAUCAUGGGGGAUUAGCUCAGCUGGGAGAGCGCCUGAUUUGCAUUCAGAGGUCAGCGGUUCGAUCCCGCUAUCCUCCACCAAACACUUAGUUAUAAAAAUUCGUAAAUAAAUAAUAAUUAAUAUCAAUAUCUAUAUCCGAACAUUAGAAAUGUUAUUAGCUAAUGUUCAAAUAAAAUUUGAUUCACACAGAAUUUUUUUUCUG